CCUGCACAACGGCUUCCUGACGUGCGGGACUGAACCCAUUGGAGCA
rnacentral:ncRNA from 1 species